UUCACAAGUUCCUCUUGUAGAAUCAAGAAAAUGAUUAAAACUGAACAUUUUUUUAUCACGUAUACAAGACCAUUGCACAUAAGUUAAUUGGAAAUUAAGUAAUCUGGAGCAAAAUCUCACUGAUAAAAGGAUCAUAGUUAUCAAAGCUAUGAAUAUGAAUUUUAAGAUGCAUUAUAAGGGGAAUUUUUUGUGUUUCCUGUUUGGCUAACAGCCUUUAGGAAAACAUUGUCGUUGAUGGUAACUUUCAUGGUGCUUACUUAAAGAAAAAAUUUUGUCAAGCACUCUACGAUAAUCCGCAAUGGAGAAAUUCAACUUCAACUACAGCUUCAAGAACAUUCUUUCACCAUCACCGAAUGAAUACUUACAACGACUUAUUGAAAAAUCUGAGACCUUCCUUCGUAAUAUGCGCUGGAAAGCUUACUUCCUCCUGAAUCCGAAUACUACCAUCACUUAUAAAGAUACCUAUGGCUUCAAGAGCAGUAAAAACCCUCCACCGAUUGACGACCUAAAAGAUUUCGAGAAAGACAUGACGAAAAUGAUACAAUCAAUAAAAUUUAAAGACGUGAACAGCACAUUCCUUAACAAAAUGAAAGACCACACCACUACCAUGAAACACGAAACGAAGCUACUAAUCGCUGCCGACAAAACAACAAAUUUCUACAAACUAGACGAGCCAGCAUACUACGACCUCCUUGAACAAAAUAUCACAAAAUCAUACAAGAAAUCAAAUGCCCACACAAUAAAAGCCAUCCAAACCGAAGACAAAAAUAUCACAUCACAACUGGGUAUAUCUAACAGAGUAGAAGCCACUGCCCACAAAAAAUGCAUUCAUAACACUCAAAGACAAUAAUUCAAACUUUACGAAUCAAUGAUCCUGCCAAUUAUCAACCUAAUAAAAUCCGAAAUUGGCAAAGUUACCAAGAAAAUACUUGACAGAAUCAACCGCAACAUAAUAAAAACAACCUCAUUCAACCAAUGGAAAAAUUCAUCAUCUGUGUGAUCCUGUUGUUCAAAUCCAUCAAACACCAAAAAACAUCACCUAAUAUCCUUCGACAUGGUAGACUUCUAUCCAUCCAUUAACCAAGACCUACUAAACAAAGCACUGGAUAUCGCCUCAACCUACGACAACAUCACAAACACCG